UGCCUGGCUAAUUUUUUGUAUUCUUAGUAGGGGCGGGAUUUCACUAUGUUGGCCAGGCUGGUCUCGAACUCCUGACCUCAGAUGAUCUGCCUGCCUUGGCCUCCCAAGGUGCUGGGAUUACAGGUGUGAGCCACCAUGCCCGGCCAAUUCAGGUGACUUCUGAAUUCUCAUUCUGAUUCUGUUCCUUUCUGCUUGAGACACUCAGCUCUGUGGUCUCUCACAGCUGUGCUGAGCCCCAGCAUGGAUGUACCAGGACUUAUCUGCCAACCCUGCUAGGCUGGGCGUGUCCAGCAUUGGCUAGAACUGCUGCUGCCGCCAUCCCACACUGUUCACAAGACCCUUCAGACUCAAAUCCUAGAGCUGCUAUUCAGUGCCCAAAACGCUAUCAAAGUGCAGGCCUGGCUCCACACUGCCAGCUGCAGAUGCUCGGCAGACUCUGCCUGGGGCUCCCGGCUGUGCUGCCCAGGCUCACCAGAACCCACCGCAGCUGCCCUGCAGCCCACCUUUUGCCUGUUGUCUCACAGCCUUAUACAGCAGCAAGGAAAGUGAGGGAGCAAUGCCAGAAGGACUUGCCAGAGGUGACCCAGCUCGUGAGGUGGUAACGCAAUGGGGAACAGAACUCCAGAGCAGGCCCAGCACUGGCAGGGCGGCUCCUCCUGUGGGCCUCAGUUCCCAUACACGAGCACGCGUCACCCUCACCAGCAGGUCGGAUGGUGAUGGACGGGGACCUGAAAGGAAAGGGGGGUGACUGCCAUUCUCACCCAGCGAUUCAGCGCGUCACACGAGUGCCUCUCCCGGCCGACUCCUGAAGGUGUCAUGUUGGGCACUGGGACGGCUUUAAACACCGGAUCUGACACCAAAACACAGAAAGGGAGUCACUCCCAGAAACACGGCUGACCAAAAAAAACACCCUCCAAACCCCACAUCAUUCCCAUCCCAAUAUUAGCCCCAGGGCACUGACUCGUAUUACUGAAUUCUCAUGUAUUAUCUGACAGAAGGGCUACAUUUCUUUUUCCUCGUGAUCUAUGUAACACUUGAAUACAUUCACAUAAGACAGAAUUAUUAAUUUCAUUUUUGAAAAGGUUUGCUUUCAAGGGAUUUCAAGGGGAAACAGCAAUUGUUUUAAGUUACUAACUAGUUUACCAAGCACCGUGCGAGGUCUGUGAGUGCCACGAUCAUCUAACUAGGCCUCACAGUGGGUGCCAACCCGUGCCAGGCACAGAGCCCGACACUUGGGACAGAAGGCAGGUAAGGUUUCUGUCAUCUUGGAGCUUACAUUUUAGUUGAGGAAACAGACCAUAAAGAAAGAAAAUCACUCCAUGUGGUUGUUAGUGUCACAAGUGAAGCUGGGGGCUCUGAUAGAAAAUGAUGGAGUCCCCUCAGGCACGAUAGGCAGGGAAGGCUGAGGAUGUGGAUACUUAGUGGAGACCGAAAUGGUGAGGAGGAGCUGGCACCAGAAGAGAGAAAUGUGUGUAAGACAGAGGGAACGCCGAGUGUUAAGCCCUUGCGGUAGGAAAGGGCAGAGUGUUCUGGAGCGCGGAGAAGACUGGUCUGACUGAGGCACAACGAACAAGAGGGAGAGUGGAAGGGGGGAAGGCAGAAGCGAAUUCGGG
rnacentral:lncRNA from 1 species